rnacentral:lncRNA from 1 species
AGCAACACGAGGUGAACAGAGGAAACUGCAGCCAGCUGAGUCCACUUGCAUACGACUCAAACAUCUCCCAGCAACCUCAGUUUUUUGCAUGUGGUGAGUCGUACCCAUCUGCAGCUGGUGUUACACCCUUUCUUCUCAUUCAGACAACUCUUCUUUCCACAGAAAGGUGCAGCCUCUGAGUGACUCUCCACAGUAACUCACAAGCUGUACGUUUCCAUGGCCCACAGGUACACAAGCAAACUUUUGGUCUUUUUCAAGGUGAGACACACCUCAAAUGACAGAAUCCCACAUCAAGCUUUCUCUCCUGGGGAGUUAACCCCCCUGGGGCUAACCCUUCACAAAGGCGGGAUGGAAGCCAGUGGAAAAGUACCCAGCUUUUCCUCCUUUACCUACUGUUCAGAGAUCCCAGAAGAAUCAAACCCUGGUGUCUGCAGCAGUGAGCCUGUGUGUUUCCUUAUCUCGGCUUUUCCUCCUUCUCUGGAUCAUCUCCCAAACAAGCAAAUCAUGCAUCUAAGUCCUUGUACUUAGGCUCUGCUUCUGGGGAGACGCAAAAUAAAACAGUUAAAAAAAAUUUCCCCCGAGUUAAUUUGCUUUUGCUUUCUCCUUUCCCAGAUCUUAUCUAUUUUUAUUGUUUUGGAGUAAGUAUGAAAAUGUAUUCUUUUGGCUGGGCGCAGUGGCUCACGCCUGUAAUCCCAGCACUUUGGGAGGCUGAGGCGGGUGGAUCAUCUGAGGAUGGGAGUUUGAGACCAGCUUGGCCAAUGUGGUGAAACCCCAUCUCUACUAAAAAUACAAAAAUUA